rnacentral:lncRNA from 1 species
UUCAAGCCAGCACCUCCGCCGAGUGAAACCGAGCAACGUUUUUAAAACGAGCUUAAAGGGGGCCAGGUGUUAUGCCCACGCCGUCUGAAGUUAACUGAACAAAUUUGGACCGCCCACCCCUCGCCCCCGGCCCUGGAACUGGGCCUCUUCGCCUCUCCCACUUCGUAUCUGGUCCAUCCUCUCAGUCUGAUCACCUUGAUGUCCCUCACCUGACAGAUUACCCAGCCGCAGACUGCCCAGCUGAAAGAGACCAUGGAUUUUUUUUUUUUUAAAAAAAACGUUAUACAGGUGAGGACACAGCAAUCCUCCAGAGGAUGCAGCAACAAGACACCAUCUUGGAAGCAGAGCAGCCCUCACCAGACACCAAAUCGGCCAGCCCAUUGAUCUUAGACU